UGGGAGUACUGGCUAUGUUACUUCUGAGUUACUGCAUCCAGGCCUAUGUGGCAGAGAUGUGACCUCUGAUAGUAGCAAAGACUGUUGAAAGGCCUAAUCACAGAAUUUCUUGAAUUUAUGAGAGAGACUUAAAGUGAUGAGCAAAAGCCAAGUUACUGUUAACUGUAUCUUAAGCAUCAUCUUACUGGGAACGUUUGAUCUGCCAAAAGAUCUUCUGAACUCUGUCUGCAAACCAUUCUCAAGUGAAUCCAUAUGACUUCAGGAGGGGUUGAAGUCGAUGACCUCGUUGGAUCUCCUUCCAACCCUUAACAUCCUGUGAGCCUGUGAUCUUGAGAUUUCACCCUACCAAC